rnacentral:rRNA from 1 species
ACGGGAGGCAGCAGUGGGGAAUAUUGCACAAUGGAGGGAACUCUGAUGCAGCGACGCCGCGUGAGUGAAGAAGUAUUUCGGUAUGUAAAGCUCUAUCAGUAGGGAAGAUAAUGACGGUACCUAACUAAGAAGCCCCGGCUAAAUACGUGCCAGCAGCCGCGGUAAUACGUAUGGGGCAAGCGUUAUCCGGAUUUACUGGGUGUAAAGGGAGCGUAGGCGGCUGUGCAAGUCGGGAGUGAAAACUUAGGGCUCAACCCUAAGACUGCUCUCGAAACUGUGCGGCUAGAGUGCAGGAAGGGCAGGUGGAAUUCCUAGUGUAGCGGUGAAAUGCGUAGAUAUUAGGAGGAACACCGGUGGCGAAGGCGGCCUGCUGGACUGUAACUGACGCUGAGGCUCGAAAGCGUGGGGAGCGAACAGGAUUAGAUACCCUGGUA